AUUGAACGCUGGCGGCAGGCCUAACACAUGCAAGUCGAACGGUAACAGGAAGAAGCUUGCUUCUUUGCUGACGGGUGGCGGACGGGUGAGUAAUGUCUGGGAAACUGCCUGAUGGAGGGGGAUAACUACUGGAAACGGUAGCUAAUACCGCAUAACGUCGCAAGACCAAAGAGGGGGACCUUCGGGCCUCUUGCCAUCGGAUGUGCCCAGAUGGGAUUAGCUAGUAGGUGGGGUAACGGCUCACCUAGGCGACGAUCCCUAGCUGGUCUGAGAGGAUGACCAGCCACACUGGAACUGAGACACGGUCCAGACUCCUACGGGAGGCAGCAGUGGGGAAUAUUGCACAAUGGGCGCAAGCCUGAUGCAGCCAUGCCGCGUGUAUGAAGAAGGCCUUCGGGUUGUAAAGUACUUUCAGCGGGGAGGAAGGGAGUAAAGUUAAUACCUUUGCUCAUUGACGUUACCCGCAGAAUAAGCACCGGCUAACUCCGUG
rnacentral:rRNA from 1 species